CAUGGUAAGCUUUUUCAACUGUGGUAAAAUUGGAGGAAGUUGAGGGAGCUUGAAGAAGUCCUUGCAUCAUCCUGUGAGACGUGAUAACUGAAGGGAUGCAUGUGGCUGUUGUGGUGAUGAAUAAAGUGUCCAUACUCACCCCACCCCUUCAACCUUUGAAAGCCCAUGUUAAGCUCACCAGAGGCAGAACAUGCUAAGGACAGCUCUACCUGGAAUCCUCACCUGAAGAACUCUCCUUAGGGAGGCAAGUAGGGGCUGCUGAGACUGAAUUAAUUGUCUGCAGAAAACCUUCUUAAGCUGAGCUAGCUGCUGGUCUGGCAAGCAUAAUCAGACUAACCUAUCUUUGCUUUUUGCACAAGUGAGUGGGAUGAACAGUACCUUGGACCGCGGUGUUCCUGUUGGCAAGUUGAUCUUUGUCACUGCCUGCAGCUCAGAGCAUGGGCAACGCACAUGGGACAAGGAUGAGCCUGGAAGCCUUCUUUCCACAGUGCUUGCACCAAGCCAGAUACUAAGAGCCAGCAGCUGUACAGCCUGCAAGAGGGGUACUAAAGCUGUCAUCUGCCCUUUGUUCAACAGGUUUGACCAUCUUGGCACAUACUCAUUGGGUCUGCAUCCAAAACACAGCUUGGGACAACACCAUAACCCCAGCCUUCCUGCUGUACACCCCUCCAGCCCUCCCUAGCACCAGGCAGGGUGGUGGGAUGACUGACAAUUUGUAUCCCAGAUGUCCUUUUCUGACAGUGAGUGCCUUGCUCAGCUCCCAGCCUCAUGGCUUCAUUCCUAGCAUGAAACUGGGAACAAAAGCUUUCUGCAGGCCUACAGAGUGGUUGCUCCCUCCUCUCUUCACAGAAAUUGAAUGGAGGCACGACUGUUCCGUGUUGGAACUAAUCACUGGUCACAGCUGCCUCUGAAACGGGGCUGGGGCAUUGUACCCCUGAGAAGCCGUGGCACAAGCGACUGGAAUAGGACACUGUGCGGCGCAGCGGUUCGCGUUGUUCCAGGCUAAGCAAUUAGGGCUUAUCCACCGAAUAAAGGGGACUGUGGCCAGCCUUCUUGGCUGUGUAUGGCUUGUACAGCAGAUGGUACCCGGAGUAUAAUGGACUAAAAAUGUUCUGAGUGGGGAAAAUGUCACAGUUGAAAAUGUCACCACCACUGACCUUCUCUGGAAAAGCAGAGGCCAACUGAAAAAGCCUUUUAUGCAGGCAGUGGGUACCAGGAAAAACAGACACUCCUGAGAUACUUUUAUUAUUUAUUUAUUAUUUUCCUGGCAAUAGGAUGUUCUAAAUCAGUUGAUGUGUCCCAGAAUUUUGAGGCAUGCUUCACCCUCCAUGAUAGGAACCAAAUAAAGAUAAGAGGGAGGGAGAUUGUGGUUUCAAUAUGGGAACGCAAAAUGAAGAUGGAAACUGAGGAACCAGUUUUUCCAACUGGGGGAGUUAACACAGGCCCUGAUGAAUUGCCUUACGCUGAUUGGGAUAUGAGAUGAAGCAGUCAGCCAAAGAUUACUGGAGAACACACAACUGACCAGUUAUGUAGAUCAAUUGUACUUUGCAAAGUGGAGAAGAACACCCAGAGCAGUUUAUGAAAUUUAUGAAGGCUGAACAAGCCUGCAACACUGUGGAUGUAGUAGAGAAUGAAAACUAAAAUACCACAAGUACAGAAGGGCAUGCCAGAUCUCAAAACUGGAUUCUCAAGGAACAAAAUGUGGCAAUGCACAGGCUGGUGAACAUUGUGAGCUGAGACAAUGCAGCUCUGAAAGAAGGAUACAAGAACACAUGUGGGUUGUAUUGUUUGCUAGUGCCAGCAGUGUGUGUAGCAUGUACUGAAGAAUGGCGACCUUCAGGAAGGAAGGAAAAGUGGAUAAUGCUGCAGCCAAAGCUGUAUAGACUAAUCUCCCUAAAGCAAAUAGCACAUGUUAGCAGUGAGGUAGCCUGUGGAGCAAGCUACCAACAUUACAUCAGAAACAGGAAUAUCAACAUAAAACAGUGUUGAUAAGUCUGAAGAGAAAUGGAUAAAGCCUAAGUGACAAUGGUAAGACAUGUGAACUGUGAACUGAACAUCUUGAUAAACUGUUAAGUCUAUGACAGUUUGCUGGGGGGUGGGAUGGAGCAGGGCAGUAAUAGUUAUUGGAGUGUGGGACUUACCUAGAUGGUGACCUCCUCAUGUGGAGGUCCUCCAUACUCACUGGAGAGAUGGGGAGAAAAAAAAAAAAGAGUGAUAAAAGAAUUUGGGAAUGUGUUCACAGAUCAGAAAUAUUUGCAACACUGCACCAAUCAGAGCCAGUCUGUUACUGAAUUUACACCCUUAGUAAAGAUCUCCUUACCCUAGGGCUGAUGUCUGGGGAGGGACGGGCAGAUUCAUUACGCUUGGGAAUCACAAAAUCAAUAGGGGAUCUGAAAGAACAGAUACCCACUUGCUCAUUAUUGUGGGAGAAGAGAGAAUCCCAAAUCAUCCACUUCAUACCUGAACCCAAAAAAGUUAGUAAGAAUUUAAAAGGGAGCAUUUUUCUAUGCCCUAGAAGAAAAAUGUUCGAAGAUGUCAAAUAUUUUUUUACUUCGUUGCACCAGCAAAGUUCUGUAAGACACUCCUAGCCUAAAAACAGUGCCUGCAUGUAUUUAAACCUCCUGCAUUCCUGGGGCACUGCUUUCUCAGGUCAUAGCACAGACUGCACGAGGCACACCGCUGUGCCUGCUUGGCUCUGAGUGAUUUCUGAACCAGGAAACUGAGCCCAUAAGUACAUCACCUUCUAUCGAGCCCUUUUUCCCCCUUUUCCAUAAUGUCCUUCUUUCUAAUUCUCCUUCCUUCCAGUAGCAUGACAUGCCUGACUUCAUUCUUUCCUUCAGCCAUAUAAGCUAUCAGAUAACUAGCAUUUACUAUUUGUAUGUGCUAAACAUUUCCUUCCUUCUCUGGUUUUAUUGUCUUUAGACUACAAUUGUUUGGGGACAGGUUUGAGUUCCUGUAUUUUUAAGUGGUACUUAAAACAGUGGAAUGCAAAUUUGGGAUGAAUUUACUAUGAUUUAGUCCCCCCUGUUCUUCCUCAUAAUUUGUGAAAAACAGGCUCUAUUGGUAUGUGUUGUGGCAAAAGUGCUGCCUCCGUUGAUCCAAAUCCCAGCUGUUCCUCAUUUACAAAGAGGAUACGCUGGAGGAAAUUGCUUUACACCCAAAAUGGGGUUAAUUACUCCUUAUUAUAUUCUUAUUCAACUUCUUUUUGAAUUUUCUUUUAAUUACUCCUUUUUCUAUUAAGCACAAGCUAAAUAUUGACAAUCCAGUUUAUUAUUAUUUUUUCUUAUAUGGACAGUAACAGCCUUCUCUGGCCCAUUGUUGCUCUGACUAGUGAGUUCAAACAGUUGCACAUCAUUCCUCAUGUGCAGAUACACGGACUGUGUCAUCCAACCUCUUCCCUUCAUCAGUUUGUUCCCAUCUCAGAAAACUUUUAGGCUACUAGAGACCCUAUAUUGCAUUAAUUGAUCUGUGAGCCUGCAUGUAAUGCAGCCUGGCUUGCAAGGUUGCACAAAAGAGUAAAAAACCUCAUUCAUUAUAAGUUCAUGUUCUAAUUUUUUUCAUCCAAAGGCUGCUUGCAGACAUCUGUGCAAAGGUAGCGUGGUUCUCUGUAGAGCCAGGACCAGU